rnacentral:rRNA from 1 species
ACGAACGCUGGCGGCGUGCUUAACACAUGCAAGUCGAACGGAAAGGCCCUGCUUUUGUGGGGUGUUCGAGUGGCGAACGGGUGAGUAACACGUGAGUAACCUGCCCUUGACUUUGGGAUAACUUCAGGAAACUGGGGCUAAUACCGGAUAGGAGCUCCUGCUGCAUGGUGGGGGUUGGAAAGUUUCGGCGGUUGGGGAUGGACUCGCGGCUUAUCAGCUUGUUGGUGGGGUAGUGGCUUACCAAGGCUUUGACGGGUAGCCGGCCUGAGAGGGUGACCGGCCACAUUGGGACUGAGAUACGGCCCAGACUCCUACGGGAGGCAGCAGUGGGGAAUAUUGCACAAUGGGCGGAAGCCUGAUGCAGCAACGCCGCGUGCGGGAUGACGGCCUUCGGGUUGUAAACCGCUUUCGCCUGUGGCGAAGCGUGAGUGACGGUAAUGGGUAAAGAAGCACCGGCUAACUACGUG